rnacentral:rRNA from 1 species
GGAGGGUGCAAGCGUUAUCCGGAAUCAUUGGGUUUAAAGGGUCCGCAGGCGGUCUUAUAAGUCAGUGGUGAAAGCCUACAGCUCAACUGUAGAACUGCCAUUGAUACUGUAAGACUUGAAUUCGAUCGAAGUGGGCGGAAUAUGACAUGUAGCGGUGAAAUGCUUAGAUAUGUCAUAGAACACCGAUAGCGAAGGCAGCUCACUAGGUCUGGAUUGACGCUCAGGGACGAAAGCGUGGGGAGCAAACAGG